rnacentral:lncRNA from 1 species
UAUAGUUUCAGGUGUACAGUGAAGUGAAUCAGUUAUACAUAUACAUAUACCCAUUCUGCUUUCUCAUACAGGUUAUUACCGCCUAUUGAGUACAUUUCCCUGUGCUAUACAGUAGGUUCUUGUGAAUCAUCUAAACUAUACAGUAGUAUAUAUAUGUUAGUCCCAUCAUCCCAAUCCCCUAUCUCUCCUCCAUGGAUUCCCACAUGGUAACCAUAAGAUUGGUUUUGAAAUCCAAAUACAAUCACAUUCUGAGGCACUGAUGGUUAGGACACUAGCACUUGAAUUUGGGGGGACUUGGCUCAGCCCACAACAUCACUGCUAAGAGCAUCAUCAUUUUGUUAUACGGAAAUCACAGCACAAAGAGAAGCCCAAAGUCUUAAAAAAGCAAAGGGACCUGCACCAAACCAGGGUGGGGUGAACCAGAAGGGUUGGUGUCCAGAGAACUCAAGGGAAAAGCUUUCUUCAGGUGGCCAUCAAGGUUGCACCUGAGGUCUGUGUGCAGGUGGCUGGGUCUCAGAUGUAACUAAGAGAGAGGCAGACAGGCACAUGUUGGAUUCAGUGCCCAGUGCUGGGGUCAGUGCUGAGACCUGACUCAGCCCCCUGAGGGAGUGUAGGAAAGGGGCAGCCAAGUCUGCUGCAGCCCCCACCUCUACCUUCAACUAUCCCACAAGUCACAUUAGCCCACAAUAUCUCUAACCCCAAUGUCACUCCCUCAUUGGUCUCUGAAUCACUUCCUUUUUUAAACUCAAAUUUUAUUUCAAAUGAAUACCCAGAAUCAAGCUAGUAAACAUGACUUAACUGCUGAAUCCAAAGGGUGGACCUGGAGGGGUGGGAGGCAGAUUUCAAGGUGAGGAUCAGUGAGAGAGAUACAGGAUUCCUGGACCCAUAAAGUUAUAAGAUGUUACAGGUUGGGGUGGAGGAUCUGAUGAAAUAGGCAUAACGUGUCCUCAGAGCCAAGCUGGAAGUAACUAAAACAUCUUAGGAGAGCCAAAGAAAUUCAAAAUAGCACCAAGCAAUUAAGGAAGUUCACUGUAAAGCUAGAAUUGCAGAUUCAAAGCCUUAAAAUCCCCAUGCAUCUGUAAGGAAGUAGGGCCUUGGAAUGCUGGGCUGCAGAACCUAGCCUUGUAAAUCAGGAAAGAGUGGCCAGAGAAAGAACCACACACAGGCUAAAACACAAGUCAUGGUCCUAGCCCCCUGGUGGAUGGUUAACCCAGCCUGAGACUCUGGGCCACAUUGUCAUGCUGAUCUGAUUCCUUCACUCCAAGAAGACUUGAAGUGACAAGGAAACCAAGGAAUCCCCACUGUGGCACAGCGGGUUAACAAACAGUUGAAUCUGUGUCCAAUUUGAUCCCCAGCCUGGUGUGAAUUGGGCAUUGCCACAGCUAGAGCACAGGUCACAGAUGCCAAAGCUGGGCUGCUCUGAAGAGGAAAGGGAGGAGCCAGGAUACUUAGGGUGUUUUGCAAAAAAGACCAGGUAGCUUAAACAUGAAAAGAUUACUGUUAAUUAAAAAAAAGAAAAAAAAGACAGACAUUACAAGUGAUUGAACUCAGCACUUUUCUUUGUACAGGACGAGGCAAGAGUCUGGGCUGACUGAACUCACUCCCUUGAUGGGUACCUCUGUUUUCUGGGGCCAGUGUUCUGCUUUUCUCCAUCCUGAGUCCCCUCAGGGUGCACAGUCAGGGUGGCUGCUGUGGCUGAGGGAUUGGUGGUGAGCAGUCCCUUCACUGCCAUCCUGGCUUCCCUCAGAGCUCACCCUCAGGGCCACUAUAAUGUGAUAGCUUGAUGGCUUGAUGGCCACAGCAUCCUUUGUUUACUGACAUGGCAGGAAAUAUUUUUUACUCAGUUUCCUGAGUCCAUGUUCUCCAGGACAGUGUGACAUGACCUUCUGAGUCAUUGCAUCCUUUGGAGCAAACAGCUGGACCAGCCCAGGUCCAAAACUAAGGGCUGUGCUGUAGGCCUAUGACCCUCCCUCAUCAGGCUGCUGGAGCCCUACAUGGGAAAUGCCAUGUUCAUGUAUCACCUUUGUCUCUCCAUCUGGGAAAACCCCACCUGCUCAUCUGGGCAGGAAAUCCAAGGCCAGGGCCCCUGCCCACUUUAGAUUUGGUCUCCAUCCUCUAAAUGCAUUUUUUUGGUCUUUUUAGGGCCACACCUACAGCAUAUGGAAGUUACAAGGCUAGGGGUGGAAACACAGCUGCAGCUUCCAGCACUGGAACAAUAAUGAGAAUGCUACCCGGUGAAUUCUCACCAACCAGACACCAGCCCCAGCAGCAGCCAUAUCAGCCUCACCCUGAGCCCUCCAUGAUGGAGAUGUGAGUGUGCAUUCUGGCUUAUCUGUGCUAGGAAUUCUGCAGAUGAGCUGUGUGGAGAGGACCCUGGGGCUGCCUGCACAGUACCCAGGACCCUGUUAGGGUCUCACCAGGCAGAGGGAGCCAGCAACUAGCAGACACCUGCUAAGGAGGCAGAGGAGUCAUGAGUCUUAUUAGGAGAGGCCUCUGAGAAAGACCAUAGUAAAUAGGCUCCCUUUUCCUUAGGACCUUGUCUUGAACUCUCUAUCCCCUCCCUAUCAGCUUUUAACCCCUGCUGGCCCUGGACUGCAUCCCAUUCCCAUCCUUAUCCCAUCCACAGUUUACUUCAUGUGAGUUGGAAAGCUAGGACCAUGCUCUCAGUCCAGCUGUCAACAAUAAAAAAUGCACAAUCUAUGGAGAUCCCAUUGUUGCUCAAUGGGUUAAGAACAAAACUAGUAUUAAUGAAGAUGAGAGUUCAAUCCAUUGCCUCACUCAAUGGGUUAAGGGUCCAUUGUUUUUAUAAACUCAAGUGUAGGUUUCUGAUGUGGUUUAGAUUUGGCCUUGCUGUGGCUGUGGCAUAGGCCAGGAGCUGUAGCUCCAGUUGAACCCAUAGCCUGGGAAUUUGCAUAUGCUGUAGGUGUGGCCCUAAAGAGAACAACAACAAAAAAGCAUGAUAUAAAAGCUGAGAUGUAUGUUUAAUUCAGGGUACUUGGGAGGCCUUAAGCCUGGGAGGCAGCCUUUUAGGUCACUCUGAGGAUGGCUGUGAAGAAGCCAGGGAGGCAUCAGGAUAUGGAAUGUGUUUUACAACAAAGACCUGGGAGCUGGAACAUCACAAGAUUACUGUCAGUUAAAUGACCUAGCCAAAGGAAAUCAUAAAAAAGGUUAAAACAAUCUAUGGACUUGGAGACAAUAUUUGCAAAUGAUACAACUGACAUGGGUUAAUUUCCAAAAUAUACAAACACCUCAUACAACUAAACAACAAAACAAACAACCCAAACAAAAAUGUGCAGAAGUCCAAAACAGAAAACAAAAAUGUGCAGAAGACCUAAACAGACAUUCCUCCAAAGACAGAUGACCAAUAGGCCUCUGAAAGAAGUUCAACAUUGCUAAUUAUUAGAGAAAUGCAAAUCAAAACUACAAUGAGGUACCACCUCACAGAGGUCAUUAACAAGUCU